AUCAUGGCCCUUACGAGUAGGGCUACACACGUGCUACAAUGGCGCAUACAAAGAGAAGCGACCUCGCGAGAGCAAGCGGACCUCACAAAGUGCGUCGUAGUCCGGAUCGGAGUCUGCAACUCGACUCCGUGAAGUCGGAAUCGCUAGUAAUCGUGGAUCAGAAUGCCACGGUGAAUACGUUCCCGGGCCUUGUACACACCGCCCGUCACACCAUGGGAGUGGGUUGCAAAAGAAGUAGGUAGCUUAACCUUCGGGAGGGCGCUUACCACUUUGUGAUUCAUGACUGGGGUGAAGUCGUAACAAGGUAACCGUAGGGGAACCUGCGGUUGGAUCACCUCCUUACCUGAA
rnacentral:rRNA from 1 species